UAAUUGAAGAGUUUGAUCAUGGCUCAGAUUGAACGCUGGCGGCAGGCCUAACACAUGCAAGUCGAGCGGCAGCGGGAGGAAGCUUGCUUCCUCGCCGGCGAGCGGCGGACGGGUGAGUAAUGUCUGGGGAUCUGCCCGAUGGAGGGGGAUAACCACUGGAAACGGUGGCUAAUACCGCAUAACGUCGCAAGACCAAAGUGGGGGACCUUAGGGCCUCACACCAUCGGAUGAACCCAGAUGGGAUUAGCUAGUAGGUGGGGUAAUGGCUCACCUAGGCGACGAUCCCUAGCUGGUCUGAGAGGAUGACCAGCCACACUGGAACUGAGACACGGUCCAGACUCCUACGGGAGGCAGCAGUGGGGAAUAUUGCACAAUGGGCGCAAGCCUGAUGCAGCCAUGCCGCGUGUGUGAAGAAGGCCUUCGGGUUGUAAAGCACUUUCAGCGAGGAGGAAGGUGGUGAGCUUAAUACGUUCAUCCAUUGACGUUACUCGCAGAAGAAGCACCGGCUAACUCCGUGCCAGCAGCCGCGGUAAUACGGAGGGUGCAAGCGUUAAUCGGAAUUACUGGGCGUAAAGCGCACGCAGGCGGUUUGUUAAGUCAGAUGUGAAAUCCCCGAGCUUAACUUGGGAACUGCAUUUGAAACUGGCAAGCUAGAGUCUCGUAGAGGGGGGUAGAAUUCCAGGUGUAGCGGUGAAAUGCGUAGAGAUCUGGAGGAAUACCGGUGGCGAAGGCGGCCCCCUGGACGAAGACUGACGCUCAGGUGCGAAAGCGUGGGGAGCAAACAGGAUUAGAUACCCUGGUAGUCCACGCCGUAAACGAUGUCGAUUUGGAGGUUGUGCCCUUGAGGCGUGGCUUCCGGAGCUAACGCGUUAAAUCGACCGCCUGGGGAGUACGGCCGCAAGGUUAAAACUCAAAUGAAUUGACGGGGGCCCGCACAAGCGGUGGAGCAUGUGGUUUAAUUCGAUGCAACGCGAAGAACCUUACCUACUCUUGACAUCCAGAGAACUUUCCAGAGAUGGAUUGGUGCCUUCGGGAACUCUGAGACAGGUGCUGCAUGGCUGUCGUCAGCUCGUGUUGUGAAAUGUUGGGUUAAGUCCCGCAACGAGCGCAACCCUUAUCCUUUGUUGCCAGCGGUUAGGCCGGGAACUCAAAGGAGACUGCCAGUGAUAAACUGGAGGAAGGUGGGGAUGACGUCAAGUCAUCAUGGCCCUUACGAGUAGGGCUACACACGUGCUACAAUGGCGUAUACAAAGAGAAGCGAACCUGCGAAGGCAAGCGGACCUCAUAAAGUACGUCGUAGUCCGGAUUGGAGUCUGCAACUCGACUCCAGGAAGUCGGAAUCGCUAGUAAUCGUAGAUCAGAAUGCUACGGUGAAUACGUUCCCGGGCCUUGUACACACCGCCCGUCACACCAUGGGAGUGGGUUGCAAAAGAAGUAGGUAGCUUAACCUUCGGGAGGGCGCUUACCACUUUGUGAUUCAUGACUGGGGUGAAGUCGUAACAAGGUAACCGUAGGGGAACCUGCGGUUGGAUCACCUCCUUA
rfam:Serratia marcescens FGI94, complete genome.